ensembl:lncRNA uncharacterized LOC107698914
AGUUGCUGAGUGCAACCAGCCAAUCAGAACCCAUUAGCGGAGUCACGAGAGCUAAUCGAGGAAUAAAAACAAACCUGACAAGAGGCGGAUGGAAGAUGUGUGAAGGAUUGUGUUCCUCUGUCGAGUUUCUCCCGGUGAAGUGCACGUCAGCAUCCAGAAGAGAUGGAGGCGAUGGGAUCCGGAUCCGGAGCCGAAGCUGAGGAGGCCCAGAGAAACACAGCCAUGCUGUGGAGCAUCCAGGAGGCCGUUCAGAGGCAGACGCUGCAGAUCGGGGCCUCGGCGUGCGGGGCCACGGCGGUGGUGGACGUUCUGCAGGCGCUGGGCAUCACGGUGACUCCAGAGACGGUUGAUCACUGCGUCAGGACGAGUCUGCGGAGGAACGAGGCGCCGCUUCACGAUUACCUGCACUCCCGCAGCAAGGCCGGGGCCACACACCUGCAGCUGGUCUCCGGGGCCGAGCAGGCCAGCGGGGGCCGUGUUGUGGGCCGGUUCUUUGGCCUGUAUCCGCGGCGGAGGCUGAAGCUGGUGCCGUGGUUGGCGCGCUGGAUUCGGAGUGGAGCCGUUCCCAUCGCCACCAUGAACAUGCAGCGGGCCGUUCCUGAAGGAGAAGAGAUUCCCGACGCCUGGCAUCACCAGCUCAUCUUCGGAGUCGCACCCGGUGCUGUGUUCAUGACCAACCCGCUGGACGUGGUGAGUGAAGAGGAGGUUCACGAGCGUCUGUGCAGCGAGUCUGUGCUGCUCGUUCGCCAUGAAGACGUUCUGAAGAGACUGACCCCGGACGCUCAUCUAUCACAGAUCUCAGAUAAGCAUCCCGACCUGCGCUGGAAAACAUUAAACGUGGAGGAUCAGGUCAGACAGAUGAUCAGCGAGGAAGAGUGUCCAAAGACGACGCAUCUCGUGAUUCCCGCGGCGUACAGCUCUGGAGUGACUUUCUUUGCUCUUAGAGACUCUGAUGUUGCUCAGGAGCUUCUCAGCAGCCCGGAUCUGCCUCUGCUGUGAUUUUAUCAUCAUCAAAUCAGUGCUUAAUUAACUUAUUCUUGACAUCGGAUCAAUAUUUAUUCUUGGGAUUUUAAAUAGAUGUUGUCAUCCUGGUGUGUUAUGUGUCCUUUGAGAGUUUAAUGGUUCACAGCAUCGUGUUUAUCAAAUAAAAAGCAAGAAACGUACAUGUUCCCUGUUCAUGUUUAUCUGCCAAGCGUUACUACACUGCAAAAAAUGCUUUUCUUACUUAGAUUUUUUUGUCUUGUUUUCAGCCAAAAUAUCAAAAAAUUCUUAAAUCAAG